CAAUAGCGUAUAUUAAAGUUGUUGCAGUUAAAAAGCUCGUAGUUGGAUUUCGGGGUGGCCUGCCUGGUCCACCGCAAGGUGAGUACUGGUCAGCCGCCCUUCCUCUCGAAAGCCCCGACUGCUCUUCAUUGCAGUGGUCGGGUAGUUCGGGACGUUUACUUUGAAAAAAUUAGAGUGUUCAAGGCAGGCUAUCGCCUGAAUACAUUAGCAUGGAAUAAUGGAAGAGGACCUCGGUCCUAUUUUGUUGGUUUCUAGGGCCGAAGUAAUGAUUAAGAGGGACAGUUGGGGCAUUUGUAUUUCGUCGCUAGAGGUGAAAUUCUUAGAUUGACGAAGGACAAACUGCUGCGAAAGCGUCUGCCAAGGAUGUUUUCAUUGA
rnacentral:rRNA from 1 species